rnacentral:rRNA from 1 species
UACGUAGGGGGCUAGCGUUGUCCGGAAUCAUUGGGCGUAAAGCGCGCGUAGGCGGCCCGGUAAGUCCGCUCUGAAAGUCCAGGGCUCAACCCUGGAAAGCGGGUGGAUACUGCCGGGCUAGAAUCCGGAAGAGGCGAGUGGAAUUCCUGGUAUAGCGGCGGAAUGCGCAGAUAUCAGGAGGAACACCAAUAGCGAAGGCAGCUCGCUGGGACGGUACUGACGCUAAGGCGCGAAAGCGUGGGGAGCGAACAGG